rnacentral:rRNA from 1 species
GUAGGUGGCAAGCGUUGUCCGUAAUUAUUGGGCGUAAAGCGCGCGCAGGCGGUUCUUUAAGUCUGAUGUGAAAGCCCACGGCUCAACCGUGGAGGGUCAUUGGAAACUGGAGAACUUGAGUACAGAAGAGGAAAGCGGAAUUCCACGUGUAGCGGUGAAAUGCGUAGAGAUGUGGAGGAACACCAGUGGCGAAGGCGGCUUUCUGGUCUGUAACUGACGCUGAGGCGCGAAAGCGUGGGGAGCAAACAGGGAUUAGAUACCCUGGUAGUCCACGCCGUAAACGAUGAGUGCUAAGUGUUAGGGGGUUUCCGCCCCCUUAGUGCUGCAGCUAACGCAUUAAGCACUCCGCCUGGGGAGUACGGCCGCAAGGCUG